rnacentral:tRNA from 1 species
GGAGAUGUGGCUCAGUCACAGAGCAUUUGCUUUGUAUGCACAAGGCCCUGGGUUCAACUCCUAGCACUGCA